AGUGAACGCUGGCGGUAGGCCUAACACAUGCAAGUCGAACGGCAGCGCAGUAAGAGCUUGCUCUUACGGGUGGCGAGUGGCGGACGGGUGAGGAAUACAUCGGAAUCUACUUUUUCGUGGGGGAUCACGUAGGGAAAGUUACGCUAAUACCGCAUACGACCUACGGGUGAAAGCGGGGGAUCUUUGGACCUUGCGGGGAUGAAUGAGCCGAUGUCGGAUUAGCUAGUUGGCGGGGUAAAGGCCAACCCAGGCGACGAUCCGUGGCUGGUCGGGGCGGAUGGUCACCCGCCCUGGAACUGGACCACGCACCAGGCUCCUGCGGGAGGCAGCAGUGGCGAAUAUUGGACAACAGGCGCAAGCCUGAUCCAGCCAUACCGCGUCGGUGGAAGAGACCUUCCGGUUGGAAAGCCCUCUUGUUGGGAAAGAAACGCAGCAGGUUGAUACCCAGCUGUUCUGACGGUACCCAAAGAAUAAGCACCGGCUAACUUCGUG
rnacentral:rRNA from 1 species